rnacentral:rRNA from 1 species
UACGUAGGGGCCUAGCGUUGUCCGGAUUUAUUGGGCGUAAAGAGCUCGUAGGCGGUUCGGUAAGUCAGGUGUGAAAUCUCCACGCUCAACGUGGAGGCGCCACCUGAAACUGCCGUGACUCGAGUCCGGUAGGGGAGUGUGGAAUUCCCGGUGUAGCGGUGAAAUGCGCAGAUAUCGGGAGGAACACCAGUGGCGAAGGCGACUUUCUGGUCUGUAACUGACACUGAGGCGCGAAAGCGUGGGGAGCAAACAGG